UCCCCGUUACCGGGGCAGUCUGAUUAGAAAAAUACAACUAAUCACAAGGGUUGCGCUCGUUGAUGGACUUAACCAAACAUCUCACGACACGAGCUGACGACGGCCAUGCAACACCUGUCUCCUUGCUCAAUAAAGCACUCUCGUCUUUCGACAAAAUUCAAGGGAUGUCAAGCCCUGGUAAGGUUUUUCGUUUAGCAUCGAAUUAAAGAACACGAUCCACCGCUUGUGCGGGUCCCCGUCAAUUCCUUUAUGUUUUAAGCUUGCGCUCGUACUCCACAGGCGGGAUGCUUAACGCGUUAGCUUCGCUACUGAAGGGGUCGAUACCUCCAACAGCUAGCAUCCAUAGUUUACGGCGUGGACUAC
rnacentral:misc_RNA from 1 species